rnacentral:lncRNA from 1 species
AUAAAACCUGACCAAGGGCGAAUUGAAAAGUGGGUUUUGAGGAAGGCCUUUGACGAUGAGGAGAACCCCUACCUGCCAAAGGUUUGAUAGUCCUCUUCUUGGAUAUUUAUUUCCUAAGUUCUCAACAUCUUUCCCCUACCUGCCAAAGGUUUGAUAGUCCUCUUCUUGGAUAUUUAUUUCCGAAGUACUCAACAUCUUUAUACUCGCCAUUAAUGGAUUUGUGUCGAAAUGUGGGAGGGUCAAUCUGAGUAAAGUUUCUUUGUUUUCUUUUAUAGUUUAUUUAGUACUUAGGAGAGAAACUGCCCAAUUUACAUAUCUUGGUACAAUAGGCUCAUGGAGACAAUUCAUC